rnacentral:rRNA from 1 species
UACGAAGGGGGCUAGCGUUGCUCGGAAUCACUGGGCGUAAAGCGCACGUAGGCGGAUUUCUAAGUCAGGGGUGAAAUCCUGGAGCUCAACUCCAGAACUGCCUUUGAUACUGGGAAGCUUGAGUCCGGGAGAGGUGAGUGGAACUCCGAGUGUAGAGGUGAAAUUCGUAGAUAUUCGGAAGAACACCAGUGGCGAAGGCGGCUCACUGGCCCGGUACUGACGCUGAGGUGCGAAAGCGUGGGGAGCAAACAGG